GUGGGGAAUAUUGCACAAUGGGGGAAACCCUGAUGCAGCGACGCCGCGUGAAGGAAGAAGUAUUUCGGUAUGUAAACUUCUAUCAGCAGGGAAGAAAAUGACGGUACCUGACUAAGAAGCUCCGGCUAAAUACGUGCCAGCAGCCGCGGUAAUACGUAUGGAGCAAGCGUUAUCCGGAUUUACUGGGUGUAAAGGGAGCGUAGGCGGCAGGGCAAGUCUGGUGUGAAACUCCGGGGCUCAACCCCGGACUUGCAUUGGAAACUGUCAGGCUGGAGUGCGGGAGAGGCAGGCGGAAUUCCUAGUGUAGCGGUGAAAUGCGUAGAUAUUAGGAGGAACACCAGUGGCGAAGGCGGCCUGCUGGACCGUAACUGACGCUGAGGCUCGAAAGCGUGGGGAGCGAACAGG
rnacentral:rRNA from 1 species